rnacentral:rRNA from 1 species
AAUUUUGGACAAUGGGGGAAACCCUGAUCCAGCCAUCCCGCGUGUAUGAUGUAGGCCUUCGGGUUGUAAAGUACUUUUGGCAGAGAAGAAAAGGUAUCUCCUAAUACGAGAUACUGCUGACGGUAUCUGCAGAAGAGGCACCGCGUAACUACGUGCCAGCAGCCGCGGUAAAACGUAGGGUGCAGGCGUUAAUCGGAAUUACUGGGCGUAAAGCGUGUGUAGGCGGGUCGGAAAGAAAGAUGUGAAAUCCCAGGGCUCAACCUUGGAACUGCAUUUUUAACUGCCGAGCUAGAGUAUGUCAGAGGGGGGUAGAAUUCCACGUGUAGCAGUGAAAUGCGUAGAUAUGUGGAGGAAUACCAAUGGCGAAGGCAGCCCCCUGGGAUAAAACUGACGCUCAGACACGAAAGCGUGGGGAGCAAACA